UACGUAGGGCGCAAGCGUUAUCCGGAAUUAUUGGGCGUAAGAGCUCGUAGGCGGUUUGUCGCGUCUGCCGUGAAAGUCCGGGGCUCAACUCCGGAUCUGCGGUGGGUACGGGCAGACUAGAGUGAUGUAGGGGAGACUGGAAUUCCUGGUGUAGCGGUGAAAUGCGCAGAUAUCAGGAAGAACACCCGUGGCUAAGGCGGCUCUCUAGUACGGUACUGACGCUGAGACGCGAAAGCGUGGGGAGCGAACAGG
rnacentral:rRNA from 1 species